AUUAAGCAUAUCAUUAAGCGGAGGAAAAGAAACUAACAAGGAUUCCCCCAGUAACGGCGAGUGAAGCGGGAAGAGCUCAAGCUUAAAAUCUCCAUACUUGUAUGGCGAAUUGUAGUCUAUUGAGGCUGUUGUCAGCAUCGCGAUUGGGGACAAGUCCCUUGGAAAAGGGCAGCAUAGAGGGUGAUACUCCCGUCUCUGCUCCAAUCUGCGGUGUGUACGAUACGCUUUCUUUGAGUCGAGUUGUUUGGGAAUACAGCUCAAAGUAGGUGGUAAAUUCCAUCUAAAGCUAAAUAUUGGUGCGAGACCGAUAGCGAACAAGUACCGUGAGGGAAAGAUGAAAAGAACUUUGAAAAGAGAGUUAAAGAGUACCUGAAACUGUUGAAAGGGAACCGUAUCGUUUCCAGUGUUGUAUCCUAUGCAUAUUUCAUUCGCGGAGUAAUUUGCGGGUGCCCUGUGCAUGGGUGUGACGUCAGGGUCAGUUUGUAUGCUGCGGGAGAUGGUCAGUGAGGAGGUGCGUCACUUCGGUGAAAGUUAUAUCUCGCUGUCUAGUAGCCGUGGUUGAGACUGAGGUGCCUACAACAUGCCUUAAGGUUCCGUGUUGUCUCGUGUUGGUGACUGCUUUGAUAGCUUGCUAUGUCUGUGGUUUAUCAGUGCGAUUGAUGAUGCGGAUAACUUUUGCUGUUCGGGACUCUGGCGAAAUGGAGCGAUACGACCCGUCUGA
rnacentral:rRNA from 1 species